rnacentral:rRNA from 1 species
UACGUAGGGAGCAAGCGUUGUUCGGAUUUACUGGGCGUAAAGGGCGCGUAGGCGGCGUGUCAAGUCGAUUGUGAAAUCUCCGGGCUUAACUCGGAACGGCCAAUCGAUACUGACGUGCUAGAGUGCAGAAAGGGUAAUCGGAAUUCUUGGUGUAGCGGUGAAAUGCGUAGAUAUCAAGAGGAACACCUGAGGCGAAGGCGGGUUGCUAGGCUGACACUGACGCUGAGUGCGCGAAAGCCAGGGGAGCAAACGGG